AGCCACUGAUGACAAUUUUUUUUUUUCUGACACCUCGUAUGAGAGCUAAGCUCCUGAUUCUAAUGCUUAUCUGAGGCUC
ensembl:snoRNA small nucleolar RNA SNORD60